UCAGGUGAAAUUCUUCAAUUUCUUCUCCACCGAGGCGAACCCAUCCCCGAGGAGAACCCAUCCACCCGAAAUCCUUCUCCCCCCUUUUGCAACCACCUCGCACCUCACCCACCUUCUAAUUAUGAGCAACGGUAGACCUUCUCGAUGAGCUUCUUGUCCCGCCGUUCCAUAGCCACAUCCUAAAUGUCGUUGCUAAUGUGCUUUGGCCUACCAUGAGCGGCUUUUUGAAUGUAAUAUUGAGCAUUAGCCAUAGCACAGAGCAUUCCGGCUAUGAUUCCCAAAGGUAACGCUACUUUCAACCAUACCCACGUCAUCUCAGAUCUCUCUUUCUCCCUCGAACUCAACAAUGGUGUAGACAGAUUGGUGUUCUUUGUUUUUUGAAUGGGCUCUCAGCUACCGAACGACCACCAGUCACGAAGGAUGUUUUGAAUUUGUGAAUCUGUGAUAAUGGAUUUUUUGAUGCUCUGGUUUUGUGAUCUGGAUUGGAUUUGUGAUAUUUGAUGCAUGUUUGGGUCUAUGAUAUUUGCGAUAUUUUGUUUUUUACUUUCAUUUUUUACGCCCAAAACCAUUGUUGUCGGACUGAUGGCGGUGGACUGGUGGCGUUGGAACUCUGGUUUCUAAGCGGCGGUGCUAAGAAAAUGGAAAAUCUCCUUUUGGCUAGGCUUAUUCCGCUUUUGAUUUUAGUGUUUUAUCAUGUGUAUGAGUAUAUUGUAAGUUUGGUGUAAAUUGUGACGUGGUAGCAGAUGUGUGGAAGUCUGUUAUACAAAGAAAAGUAGCCCGACUGCUUAGAAGCGGGAUUGAAAAAAGAAAUUUCUGACUCCGGAAACUAAUCUGUUGAGAUCUUUGUCUAGGUUUAGACUUCUUAGCCCGUUACACAAAGACACAGAUCGCAGUUUAAGAGCAGAGCAAAGCAAAGCACCACACAAAGCUUACCGACCUUGAACGUUGUAAUUUGGCCUAUUUAAGGCUUUUUAACCUAUAGAGAAGCUCUCUCUCUCUCUGAACUUGAUACUUGAUAAGGAUGCCUUCAAUGGCUCAAGGAGGACUCCGAGACCCGACCAAAAACCCUAACAAACUUCACGACUGCAAGCUCGAUGCCUUCUCCGGCCCCUCUCGCUCGGUUUCCUUUCCUCAGCUACCGCUACCAUGCCAUCCACCGCCUGUCGUCUUGUUCGCUGCCUGCCUUCUACCGUCUGUGUUCAAGGACACCCAUUAUAUGAGUUGAAAUAGAGUGAUGGACAAAGAGGAAGAUAAAGGGCCACCUAAGCCUUCUACACGAAUUCCACCGACUCAGGGAUAUUAUGGUCCAAGAAAUGCUUACUACCCACCAUUUAUGAUGCAUCCAAGUACAUAUCUGAAUUCAUAUACAUACACAUGGGGUAGCCAGGCCCCACCAAUGCCACAUUUUUCAACAACGUUCAUCUACCCUCCGUUGACUAAUGCAGAGGAGUCAAACCAUCUUCAACACACGAUCCAGCCCCCAUCAAUGCCACAUUUUCCAACAACGCUCAUCUAUCAUCCAUUGACUAAUGCGGAGAAGUCACUCUCAGGCUGUGUUCAACCAAAAAGCCAGGUACUUCCUUUCUUUUCCUAACUUUUUGUCCUUGAAUAUGUGCAUUGUUACCCAUUUUAACACCGUGCCUGAUAUAAGCCCUCACCAAUGUCAUAUUUUUCAACAACGUUUAUCUACCCUCCGUCGACUAAUGCAUAGGGUUCGGGUCGUCUUCAACAAACGACCCAGCCCCCACCAAUGCCACAUCUUCCAACAACGUUCAUCUACCCUCCAUCGACAAAUGCGAAGGAGUCAGACCAUGUUCAACAACCUAACCAGCUAGGGCUGUACAAAAUACCGAAGAACCGACCGGAACCGACUCAGACCAGCCGCUGGAGAUCGGAACCAGCCAGAACUGGAGUAGAACCGGUCGGCGCACAGUAGGUUUUAUUCAAAACCGAUGUCCAGCGGUUCGGUCCUGGUUUGAAUCUGGGCCGGACCGCUGAACCGACCGAUGGUUUAAGUAUUUUUUUUAAUUUAUAAAUAUAUGAAACGACGCCGUUUCACUUAAAACUGAAGUGAAACGGUGUCGUUUUAUGGUUUAGUAUUGGACAAAAAAAUUUACACGAACGGCGCCGUUUUAACUCUAGGGUUAACACAGCACCGUUCCCUUCAUCUU